rnacentral:rRNA from 1 species
CCUACGGGAGGCAGCAGUGAGGAAUAUUGGACAAUGGGCGCAAGCCUGAUCCAGCCAUGCCGCGUGCAGGAAGAAGCAUCUAUGGUGUGUAAACUGCUUUUAUACAGGAAGAAACACUCCCUCGUGAGGGAGCUUGACGGUACUGUAAGAAUAAGGACCGGCUAACUCCGUGCCAGCAGCCGCGGUAAUACGGAGGGUCCAAGCGUUAUCCGGAAUCAUUGGGUUUAAAGGGUCCGUAGGCGGUUUAAUAAGUCAGUGGUGAAAUCUGGUCGCUCAACGAUCAAACGGCCAUUGAUACUGUUAGACUUGAAUUAUUGUGAAGUAACUAGAAUAUGUAGUGUAGCGGUGAAAUGCUUAGAUAUUACAUGGAAUACCAAUUGCGAAGGCAGGUUACUAACAAUAUAUUGACGCUGAUGGACGAAAGCGUGGGGAGCGAACAGGAUUAGAUACCCUGGUAGUCCACGCCGUAAACGAUGGAUACUAGCUGUUCGGAGCAAUCUGAGUGGCUAAGCGAAAGUGAUAAGUAUCCCACCUGGGGAGUACGUUCGCAAGAAUGAAACUCAAAUGAAAUUGACGG